rnacentral:rRNA from 1 species
GACGUAGGGCGCGAGCGUUGUCCGGAUUUAUUGGGCGUAAAGAGCUCGUAGGCGGCUUGUUGCGUCAGCUGUGAAAACCCGCAGCUCAACUGUGGGCUUGCAGCUGAUACGGGCAGGCUUGAGUUCGGUAGAGGAGACUGGAAUUCAUGGUGUAGCAGUGAAAUGCGUAGAGAUCAUGAGGAAGACCAGUGGCGAAGGCGGGUCUCUGGACAGUUCCUGACGCUGAGGCACGAAGGUCAGGGGAGCAAACGGG